rnacentral:rRNA from 1 species
GAUGAACGCUGGCGGCGUGCCUAAUACAUGCAAGUCGAGCGGAAGGACGAGAAGCUUGCUUCUCUGAUGUUAGCGGCGGACGGGUGAGUAACACGUGGAUAACCUACCUAUAAGACUGGGAUCACUUCGGGAAACCGGAGAUUAUACCGGAUAAUCUUUUGAACCGCAUGGUUGAAAAGAGAAAGACGGUGUUGCUGUCAGUUAUAGAUGGAUACGCGCUGGAUUAGCUAGUUGGUAAGGUAAAGGCUUACCACGGCAACGAUGCAUAGGCGACCUGAUGGGCGGAUCGGCCGCACUGGAACUGAGACACGGUCCAGACUCCUACGGGAGGCAGCAGUAGGGAAUCUUCCGCAAAGGGCGAAAGCCUUACGGAGCAGCGCCGCGUGAGUGAUGAAGGUCUUCGGAUCGUAAAACUCUGUUAUUAGGGAAGAACAUAUGUGUAAGUAGCUGUGCACAUCUUGACGGUACCUAAUCAGAAAGCCACGGCUAACUACGUG